rnacentral:rRNA from 2 species
GAUGAACGCUGGCGGCGCGCCUAACACAUGCAAGUCGAACGGUUAAAGCACCUUUUAGGUAUGUAUAAAGUGGCGAACGGCUGAGUAACACGUGGGCAACCUGCCCUCCUCUUGGGGAUAGCCUCGGGAAACCGAGGAUAAUACCCGAUACUUCAAUGUGGCCGCAUGGCGACAUUGAGAAAGCUUUUGCGGAGAAGGAUGGGCCCGCGGCCUGUUAGCUUGUUGGUGGGGUAGAGGCCUACCAAGGCAAUGAUGGGUAGCUGGGUUGAGAGACCGACCAGCCAGAUUGGGACUGAGACACGGCCCAGACUCCUACGGGAGGCAGCAGUGGGGAAUCUUGCACAAUGGGCGAAAGCCUGAUGCAGCGACGCCGCGUGCGGGACGAAGGCCUUCGGGUUGUAAACCGCUUUCAGCAGGGACGAGGCGAUAAGUGACGGUACCUGCA